CGGGGUGUGGCUCAGCCUGGUAGAGCGCUGCGUUCGGGACGCAGAGGCCGGAGGUUCAGAAUCCUCUCACCCCCGACCA
rnacentral:tRNA from 1 species